rnacentral:rRNA from 1 species
CCUACGGGUGGCAGCAGUGAGGAAUAUUGGUCAAUGGGCGCUAGCCUGAACCAGCCAAGUAGCGUGAAGGAUGACUGCCCUACGGGUUGUAAACUUCUUUUAUAAAGGAAUAAAGUGCAGCACGUGUACUUUUUUGUAUGUACUUUAUGAAUAAGGAUCGGCUAACUCCGUGCCAGCAGCCGCGGUAAUACGGAGGAUCCGAGCGUUAUCCGGAUUUAUUGGGUUUAAAGGGAGCGUAGAUGGGUUGUUAAGUCAGUUGUGAAAGUUUGCGGCUCAACCGUAAAAUUGCAGUUGAUACUGGCAUCCUUGAGUACAGUAGAGGUAGGCGGAAUUCGUGGUGUAGCGGUGAAAUGCUUAGAUAUCACGAAGAACUCCGAUUGCGAAGGCAGCCUACUAGACUGUAACUGACGUUGAUGCUCGAAAGUGUGGGUAUCAAACAGGAUUAGAUACCCCUGUAGUC